ACCUGAGUGGCUCAGUCAGUUGAGCAUCUGACUUCAGCUCAGGUCAUGAUCUCACGGUUUGUGGGUUCGAGCCCCACAUCGGGCU
rnacentral:tRNA from 1 species